UGGAAGGGCCAUCGCUCAACGGAUAAAAGCUACCCCGGGGAUAACAGGCUUAUCUCCCCCAAGAGUUCACAUCGACGGGGAGGUUUGGCACCUCGAUGUCGGCUCAUCGCAUCCUGGGGCUGUAGUCGGUCCCAAGGGUUGGGCUGUUCGCCCAUUAAAGCGGUACGCGAGCUGGGUUCAGAACGUCGUGAGACAGUUCGGUCCCUAUCCGUCGUGGGCGUAGGAAAUUUGAGAGGAGCUGUCCUUAGUACGAGAGGACCGGGAUGGACAUACCUCUGGUGUACCAGUUGUCGUGCCAACGGCAUAGCUGGGUAGCUAUGUGUGGACGGGAUAAGUGCUGAAAGCAUCUAAGCAUGAAGCCCCCCUCAAGAUGAGAUUUCCCAACUUCGGUUAUAAGAUCCCUCAAAGAUGAUGAGGUUAAUAGGUUCGAGGUGGAAGCAUGGUGACAUGUGGAGCUGACGAAUACUAAUCGAUCGAAGACUUAAUCAAAUU
rnacentral:rRNA from 1 species